UCUGUUUGCAUUAAGGCCUUUUUAGGGCUCAGGCUGGUGACUUUUUAGUCACCAGCCU
rnacentral:sRNA from 1 species